rnacentral:lncRNA from 1 species
UUUUCUUCAAGUCCCAUUGGCAAAGACAGAGGGAGGGAUAGGUCCCAUUCAGGGACCUGAAUGGAGCAAGACAUAAGGACACUAAUGACACUUCCCUCUGCUUUCUCAGGCAGAAGAACAGAGGGAGUACAGACAUCUCAGGACUAAGACCAAGACAGAGAGACUCAAAACCAGUGAUUUGAGAGCCCCGCGACGCAGCCUGCUACAGGAACGGGGACUUCUCUGGAACACUGGCGUGCGC